rnacentral:rRNA from 1 species
GAUGAACGCUGGCGGCGUGCCUAAUACAUGCAAGUCGAGCGAACAGAUAAGGAGCUUGCUCCUUUGACGUUAGCGGCGGACGGGUGAGUAACACGUGGAUAACCUACCUAUAAGACUGGGAUAACUUCGGGAAACCGGAGCUAAUACCGGAUAACAUAUUGAACCGCAUGGUUCAAUAGUGAAAGGCGGCUUUGCUGUCACUUAUAGAUGGAUCCGCGCCGUAUUAGCUAGUUGGUAAGGUAACGGCUUACCAAGGCAACGAUACGUAGCCGACCUGAGAGGGGGAUCGGCCACACGGGAACGGAGACACGGUCCAGACUCCUACGGGAGGCAGCAGUAGGGAAUCGUCCGCAAUGGGCGAAAGCCUGACGGAGCAACGCCGCGUGAGUGAUGAAGGUCUUCGGAUCGUAAAACUCUGUUAUCAGGGAAGAACAAAUGUGUAAGUAACUGUGCACAUCUUGACGGUACCUGAUCAGAAAGCCACGGCUAACUACGUG